GAACGCUGGCGGCGUGCNUAGAGACAUGCAAGUCGUGGGAGAAAGUCGUAGCAAUACGGCAAGUAAACCGGCGCACGGGUGAGUAACACGUGGAUAACCUGCCUCAGAGUCUGGGAUAACCCGUCGAAAGACGAGCUAAUACCGGAUAAGACCACGGGAAGUUCGCUUCCUGAGGUAAAAGAUGGCCUCUGCUCCUGCAAGCUAUCACUUUGAGAGGGAUCCGCGUCCUAUCAGCUAGUUGGCGAGGUAACGGCUCACCAAGGCUAAGACGGGUAGCUGGUCUGAGAGGAUGGUCAGCCACACUGGGACUGAGACACGGCCCAGAGUCCUACGGGAUGCAGCAGUCAGGAAUAUUGCGCAAUGGAGGAAACUCUGACGCAGCGACGCCGCGUGGGUGAUGAAGGCCUUCGGGUCGUAAAGCCCUGUCGGAGGGGAAGAAAAGUCUGUUGGCUAAUAUCCAGCGGACCUUUGACGGUACCCUCAAAGGAAGCACCGGCUAACUCCGUGCCAGCAGCCGCGGUAAUUCAGCCGAAUUCUAGCACAC
rnacentral:rRNA from 1 species